rnacentral:lncRNA from 1 species
CCUGAUUACUUUGGAAGAAUUAUUAUCUGACAUGAUGAUACAAGGCCCAGAAUACAUGGGUGGAUGCGUCCACAUUCAUCAUGGAGGUUGGAGUCGAGAUCAUGUGGGCCUCAUAGCAAAACAGUUACUCUUUUGCUGACUUACACACACCACUCUGCCCCUCAAGAGCUAGAAGAACAAGUGGGAGCGGCGUCACUAAUACAUGGAGAUACUGAGUAAGAACCCUUAUACCACCAGUGACUGACACAAUAUCUUGUAAUCUUAAUUCGAUUCUCCAAUUACCGAGGUUGUAUAGUGACAAUGCAU